rnacentral:ncRNA from 1 species
GAGAGCGCAGUACAAUGGAGAGUUGUAUGCUGCGUUCGGGAAGGAUGAAUCGCUCCUGAAAAGGAAUCUAGUUCAUAGUUUCAAAACAUAUAACUUACCUUAAU